rnacentral:rRNA from 1 species
AGUGGUACGUGAGCUGGGUUUAAACCGUCGUGAGACAGGUUGGUCCCUAUCUGCUAUGGGCGUACGAAACUUGAGGGGUUUUCUCUUUAGUACGAGAGGAUUUGGAGGGACGGACCUCUGGUGUUCCUGUUGUCACGCUCGUGGCACGGCAGGGUAGCUAAGUCCGGCACGGAUAAGCGCUGAAAGCAUCUAAGCGCGAAGCCUUUCCCGAGAUCAGGUUUCGCUUGAGUCCCCUGGGAGACGACCAGGUUAAUAGGCUGGGGGUGUAAGGCAGGUAACUGUCUCAGCUGACCAGUACUAAUGGACAAUCGGCUUGGCCAUUUU